CAUAAGAGGCACUGCCUGCCCAGUGACCACAUGUUUAACGGCCGCGGUACUUUGACCGUGCGAAGGUAGCGUAAUCACUUGUCUUUUAAAUGAAGACCUGUAUGAAUGGCACGACGAGGGCUUAACUGUCUCUUUUUUCCAGUCAAUGAAAUUGAUCUCCCCGUGCAGAAGCGGGGGUAGUAACAUAAGACGAGAAGACCCCGUGGAGCUUUAGACGCUAGAUCAACCCUAGUCCAACACCCCUGCCUAAAAGGUUGAACGCUAUAGGAGACCGGAUCUAAUGUCUUCGGUUGGGGCGACCCCGGGGAAAGAAAAACCCCCGUGUGGAAUAGGAGUACUACACUCCCAAAUCUAAGAGCCACCUCUCAAAGCAUCAGAAAUUCUGACCAACUACGUGAUCCGGCUUAACGCCGAUUAACGGACCAAGUUACCCCAGGGAUAACAGCGCAAUCCUCUUCUAGAGCCCGUAUCGACAAGAGGGUUUACGACCUCGAUGUUGGAUCAGGACAUCCUAAUGGUGCAGCCGCUAUUAAGGGUUCGUUUGUUCAACGAUUAAAGUCCU
rnacentral:rRNA from 1 species